CAGUAGCCGCGGUAAUACGUAGGGUGCGAGCGUUAAUCGGAAUUACUGGGCGUAAAGCGUGCGCAGGCGGUUGUGUAAGACAGGUGUGAAAUCCCCGGGCUUAACCUGGGAACUGCGCUUGUGACUGCACAGCUAGAGUAUGGCAGAGGGGGGUGGAAUUCCACGUGUAGCAGUGAAAUGCGUAGAGAUGUGGAGGAACACCGAUGGCGAAGGCAGCCCCCCGGGCCAAUACUGACGCUCAUGCACGAAAGCGUGGGGAGCGAACAGGAUUAGAUACCCCCGUAGUCCCUGUCUCUUAUAC
rnacentral:rRNA from 1 species